UGAGGAGGGUGACUCUGAUGAGGUAUCUCCAUUUUAUGACAUGAUUAAUUGAGUUGUAAUGGAAUUUCUAAUCAAUAUAUGUAGUGAAAGUUUUUAUUUUUAUUAUUUUUUAAUUUUUAAUCUAACUUAAAAUCAGUAGGGUGAUGGUGGAUGCCCUUUCUUUAUUUUUUUUAAUUGAUUGAAGUUAAUUUGGACAGGGUUGUCGAAGAAGAUAAAAUUAUAGAUUUGUACAAUUAAGUUAAAAAACUAAAAGUGUUCAUGGAACUGAUAGUUGAAUUAGGUUUCUUGUAAAUACU
rnacentral:misc_RNA from 1 species